GGGUAUGUGAAUGGCUGCUGGUUCCAGGGGAAUGUUUGCAGGCACACAGAGAGUAUGGUCAUGUGAAAGGGUGAUAAAGGAAGGAAACAUGAGGUUAAUACUGCUCAGGCGGAUUGUAAGCAUUUUAAGACCUGGGAAACUUUUAGUUGUUGACUCGACCAUAAACUCUGCUGGAUAUCAAGGCAAACGUGAAGCCAUCUGUCUGCCGGCUGAAGCUUGACCGACACCGGGUCAUGUCCUGAGGGCUGAAGGCUAAAGGUUUUACCAAGGAAAGGUGGUGGGAGGCAGGAGUAUAUGACAAAUGAUGGCAUUGCCUCCUCUCCAUGCAUGGAGCUGCUGCAGAGCUGCAGAGCUGCAGAGCCCUUUCACUGACAGACUGCUGCAUCCCAGAUGCUCUAAGGAGCGUCUCUGCAGGUCCUUCAUGCCAGCUGCUGUUAACCUUUAUACUCUCUGCUCCUCACAUUAAACUCAAUAACUGUUUACAACAUGCUGCUGGC